rnacentral:snoRNA from 1 species
AACCCAUGGUGAGGGCACCUUCUCAAUAAAUACUUAUACCUCUCCCAUGCAUCAUAUAAGGUUUCUAAGUCGAUUUGAAUGAAGGAAGAUAUAUCAUUCUUCAACUU